rnacentral:lncRNA from 1 species
ACUAGCACACAUCGAGGGUAAAAUGAGAACAGGUUGCUUGUGAUGAUUUCAUCAUGUCCUAUGUCAACCUCCAGAUGCACCGGUCUGCAGGAACCAUGAUGACUUAAGGUGUUCAAAAGGAAGAGGUAGUUAUAACUUAAUCACAUGAAGGAAGUUAUCCCGAAAGACCUACACUCUCUUGAAAUCUAUGCAAACCUAGCAAAAGAUCGGGCACAAUGAAAGAAAAGGAUCUAUGUGGAUGAUACCAGUUAGUUGGUUUAAGCUUUAAUUAUGCUAAUAUGUUUACUUUCGAUCCCAAUGUUUGUUGGGAGUUUUUAGGUCUUGUUUGAGAUUUCAUGCGUGGGAAAUGCAGACAGCUUCUAGUGCUACAAAAACUAAUUCUUUAUUAUAUUUGAACUUAGACAAAGCUUAAUUGAGUGACAUGGACAAUGAGAAUUCAUAUAGCCGAGGAUUCACAUAGACGGUCUUAAAUAGAGGGACAGUGGAUAUUUCUUGGAAUAUUGAAGAUGAGAAAAAGUAAAGCUUACCUUAGCUUUGGUUAAGGGAGACUGGUAUGUCUGCAUAACUGUCAUGUAUGUUUCCAUAGCAGGUACUGGUUCUGGAACAACUCUCCUGCUGUUGUUACAAAGGUCAAUACGGUUACUAUCUUCAAGAUUGCUUCUACUUUCAAUAUCAUAGUUCUUUAUGCUGGAAUUGUUGCUUUUAACAUCUUCCAUGUUUUAAAUGCAGGACACUUCCAAUAUUCUAGUUAAGAAGUUGCCGUACAUUGUGUCAUGCUUAUAUAGCUUCAAAAAAGCCUCAAGGACUAUCGAUUUGCAAACAGGGAUAUCGAUUUGGUUGAUCCUAAGAAUAAAACAAAAGAUAUAAGUUAGUGCUGCAAAUUCUAAAAGCCACAAGUUGCUGGAGAGGGAGCAG